rnacentral:lncRNA from 1 species
GCGAGAGUAAAAAUACGCUUCCUACUUUGAAUCAAACCAUCAGCGACUAAGUUCAUUGAAUCUGGAAUGAAGAUCCUGAAGAUCCUGCUUAUCUUCACUGUCUCCUUCAUCUCAGGUGGAGUGGACUAUGGCGAUGUGACGGGCUAUACAGGAGGAAGUGUCCUCAUCAACUGUAAAUAUACUAACCCGAACUCCGUGAAUCACACAAAGUACUUCUGCAAGUUAGACGAAAAAAAUCAAUGCAUGGAAAAGUUUCUUUCAAACGAAUCUACUACACCAAAUCCUGAUCAGAAGAUCUUCUUUAUGCAUGAAAAGCUUGGAUUGUACAAUGUGCUCAUUAAAAACAUAAGUCUGCAGGAUGCAGGAACGUACAGAUGUGGAGUGGAAAAUAAAAACCAGUUUACAGACGUGGAACUGAAGGUGGAAGAAGAUACUUGCUGUGGAAAGUCAUUUCCUCACAAAGCUCAUCCAGGAGAGACUGUUACCUUUACCUGCAAAUAUCCAGCAGAAUUUCAACAGUACAAUAAGUACCUGUACAAUGUGACCAAUCACAACUUGAGUACGGUCAUUUUUACUUUUGGAUCAUCAGUACAGAAAGGGAGAUUUUCGAUUUCUGACCAUAAAAACAAAAAACUUUUUAAUGUGAGCAUCAGUAACCUGACUGUGGAGGAUGCAGGAGUUUACCUGUGUGGAGCUCAGAAGAUAUAUACAAAACCUUACUUUUCCCUCUUCAAUGAAAUGCAGCUUCAAGUUGAGCGUAAGUAUCUAUUUUUGUAUUUAUGCUGAUUUUUUAGUCAUUUUUCUUUACAUUUUUACAGUUAUUAAUUAAUUAUAUUUGUUUUCUGCAUGAUUUACACACCAAUCAACAGCAAAAACGCCUGGUAAGAACCCAGUUUUUACAUAAAGAUGUUUUCAAAAAUGCUCAUAGAAAUUUUUUCAUUGAAAAAUUCUAUUGUAUUAGGAGGAUAAAGAGGUGUUACCUUUGAGUAUGGUCGACCA